GCCAGGUGUGGUGAUGCACACCUAUAAUCCCAGCAACUCAGGAGGCUGAGGCAGGAGGAUUGCAAGUUUAAGGCUAGCCUGGGCCACUUAGUGAGACCCUGUCUCAA
rnacentral:sRNA from 1 species